GUGGGGAAUAUUGGACAAUGGGCGAAAGCCUGAUCCAGCCAUGCCGCGUGAGUGAUGAAGGCCCUAGGGUUGUAAAGCUCUUUCACCGGGGAAGAUAAUGACGGUACCCGGAGAAGAAGCCCCGGCUAACUUCGUGCCAGCAGCCGCGGUAAUACGAAGGGGGCUAGCGUUGUUCGGAAUUACUGGGCGUAAAGCGCACGUAGGCGGAUCGGUCAGUUAGGGGUGAAAUCCCAGGGCUCAACCCUGGAACUGCCUUUAAUACUGCCGGUCUAGAGUUCGAGAGAGGUGAGUGGAAUUCCGAGUGUAGAGGUGAAAUUCGUAGAUAUUCGGAGGAACACCAGUGGCGAAGGCGGCUCACUGGCUCGAUACUGACGCUGAGGUGCGAAAGCGUGGGGAGCAAACAGGAUUAGAAACCCCGGUAGUCC
rnacentral:rRNA from 1 species